rnacentral:rRNA from 1 species
AAGACCUUGCACUUUUGGAGCGGCCGAUGUCUGAUUAGCUAGUUGGUGGGGUAAUGGCCUACCAAAGCUUCGAUCAGUAGCUGGUCUGAGAGGACGGCCAGCCACACUGGGACUGAGACACGGCCCAGACUCCUACGGGAGGCAGCAGUGGGGAAUUUUGGACAAUGGGCGCAAGCCUGAUCCAGCCAUGCCGCGUGAGUGAAGAAGGCCUUCGGGUUGUAAAGCUCUUUCAGCCGGGAAGAAAAGGCUGCGACUAAUAAUCGCAGUUCAUGACGGUACCGGAAGAAGAAGCACCGGCUAACUACGUGCCAGCAGCCGCGGUAAUACGUAGGGUGCAAGCGUUAAUCGGAAUUACUGGGCGUAAAGCGUGCGCAGGUGGUUUUGUAAGUCAGAUGUGAAAGCCCCGGGCUCAACCUGGGAACU